rnacentral:rRNA from 1 species
UACGGAGGGUGCGAGCGUUAAUCGGAAUUACUGGGCGUAAAGGGUGCGUAGGUGGUUUAAUAAGUUAGUUGUGAAAUUCCUGGGCUUAACCUAGGGUGGUCAACUAAGACUGUUAGACUUGAGUAUAGGAGAGGGUAGUGGAAUUUCCGGUGUAGCGGUGAAAUGCGUAGAGAUCGGAAGGAACACCAGUGGCGAAGGCGGCUACCUGGCCUAAUACUGACACUGAGGCACGAAAGCGUGGGGGAGCAAACAGG